UCAAAUUUGAAAUCUGGCCCUUGGGUCCGAAUUGUAAUUUGUAGAGGAUGAUUUUGGUGCGGUAUCUUCCGAGUUCCUUGGAACAGGACGCCUUAGAGGGUGAGAGCCCCGUACGGUUGAAUGCCUAGCCUCUGUAAAUCUCCUUCGACGAGUCGAGUAGUUUGGGAAUGCUGCUCUAAAUGGGAGGUAAAUUUCUUCUAAAGCUAAAUACUGGCCAGAGACCGAUAGCGCACAAGUAGAGUGAUCGAAAGAUGAAAAGCACUUUGAAAAGAGGGUUAAAUAGCACGUGAAAUUGUUGAAAGGGAAGGAUUUAUGACCAGACUUUUUCUGGGCGGAUCAUCCGGUGUUCUCACCGGUGCACUUUGCCCAGUUUAGGCCAGCAUCGAUUUUUGGAGAGGGAUAAAAGCUUUAGGAAUGUGGCUCCUCCGGGAGUGUUAUAGCCUAUUGUAUAAUACCUUUCCGGGGAUCGAGGUACGCGCUUCUGCAAGGAUGCUGGCGUAAUGGUUAUCAAUCACCCGUCUUGAAACACGGACCAAGGAGUCGAACAUUUGUGCGAGUGUUUGGGUGUUAAACCCUCACGCGUAAUGAAAGUGAACGGAGGUGAGAGCCCUUACGGGUGCAUCAUCGACCGAUCCUGAAGUUUUCGGAUGGAUUUGAGUAAGAGCAUAACUGUUCGGACCCGAAAGAUGGUGAACUAUGCGUGGAUAGGGUGAAGCCAGAGGAAACUCUGGUGGAGGCUCGCAGCGGUUCUGACGUGCAAAUCGAUCGUCAAAUCUGCGCAU
rnacentral:rRNA from 1 species